UGAUAUCUGUAGAAAUAAAGCUCGUAAACGUGAAAAUAUAUUUGUAAGAAAAAUGUUCGUGCGCCUGCAUACGAUUAUUUUUCAUAUAAAUGUAUAUUAUUUUCGACGUUAGUACGAGGAAAGUAUUAAUUUUGAAGUUUCUGCUUUUAGAAAGAGAGAGUGACCGAUUCGAUUCGUUCAAAGGUCCGUUUUUGUUGACAGUCCAUCUCUCGUUGUUUUAUGUUGGUUUACGCCAACGACAAAUACAGGUAUAAUUUUUUAACGAUUUUGAUGAACGAGAUCGCUUCAAACAUGAAUAUUCGAAUGAAAAUACGAUUCUUCCGAACUUUCGAAUACGCGCUUCGUUUUGUUUGAAAAAAUCGUGUCAAAAAAUGAUGUUUUCUCGACAAUAAUACGCGCAUAAAGAUAAAGGUUAAGGUUAAUUUUAAAACAUUUAAAUUGUCGUUGUAGCAAAGUCUCGUUACGCACACCAAGCAACGAAAGAAAAACUAGUCGAGCGUGAUAAAUUGUUAUUACUACAUGUAUAUAUAUACCACGUACAAUUCGGAGAAUUUGGAAAGUCUUGUAGUGAAAAGUAUUUGUAAAUAAACAAGAGACGAUCGGAGAGAUCGGCCUUGGCACGACUUUCCCCCAUUCGUCGUCCUUACUAACGUGUGUUAGUACGCAGUAUUCGUUCCUCCAAGCAGCUAUCUGGACGUGUUUUAUCUAGCCAACGAACGACUCUGACAACACUUGCAUCGUAUCUGUUGAACGAGUAAAAACGUACAAAAUGUCGACAGAUCGAUUCUCGACAUGAUGAUCGAGUGAACAUCAAUCGACCAUAUCGUAACCGUGAUCCUGAGCGUGAUCGUCACAGAGUUCGAUCGAGAACUUACGAUUUCG